UCAGCGGCUGAUUGCUCCCAAUAGGAAUCCCUACCCAUUUGACAACUUUACCCAGUCGACAAUGUCCAUGCCAAAACGGGUUAUAUUAAAGUUGAAUCCUCUAGCUAUCUCAAUGACCUCCACCUGUUUCAUACAAAAGGGUGGUGCAUUUCCUUGAGCCAGAGGUGGAAGGACAGGAGAAACACUGACAUGGUUGCAGUUAAUGUAUGUUUAAGCAGGGAACUUGGCUUGCCAAGAGAAGGAGAGGAGUGAGAGAGGACAACGGGGAGAUGAGGAUGGCUGAUGAAGAUGACCAUUGCUAACCCUAAGGAGCUGGAUGCUCUGAUGGAUGAGAAGGCUUAUGAGAGAUACAUCAGAUCCAUAGAAGACUAGCAUUGCCUAGACGCAACCCUCAUCACCCCCUCACCUGCCUAGCAAUCCCUACUAGAGAGGAAGUGCACCAGUUGUGCCGGGAGUCGGAUGUGACACUACACCGGGAAACCACCAGAGCUCAUCCUUAUUGACUUGCCAGUGUUAUUGUGGUCUGAAUGUUAAGUCUUUAGUGUACUGGUAAUGACUAUGACCUAAUGGGGAUGUUGGGAGCAAAUGUCUUACACAUGUGGCAUGACAUACUGUACAUGGCUGAUGUAGAGUGAUACUGUACGAGUCCUGAUGCAUUCUCUGGCUGAAUCUCAAGUCUUAUCCUUGAUUCCUUGUGUCCUUUCUCCGCCUCCUUAAUUAAAUCAUUAGAGGGUUUCAUUAUGUUUUGAGGAGUUAAGGACACAAAAGAAUUGAGGAAAAUACUUUAAGAUUAAUCCUCAGUCUUCCACUCAAAGCCUUCCCCAAGCACAGGGGAUGAGGAAUGAGGAAGAUUCAUUCCCAUGUCUUUCAGCAACAAAAGUGGUUAUUAUGAUCUCUCUUUAAAUGGUCAAAUUGUAUUUUUGAUCGUUUAGUGCCGACUUAAUUUUUUACUAAUGG